CCUCCCACGCACCCUGGGCUAUGGGGCUCAGGUGGGCUCAGUCUUCAGUCCCCACUCAGGGAGUCGUGUUGUAAUUUUUGUUGGCAGCACGGG